UACAGAGGGGGCCAGCGUUAUUCGGAAUCACUGGGCGUAAAGCGCACGUAGGCGGAUGUGUCAGUCAGGGGUGAAAUCCCGGAGCUCAACUUCGGAACUGCCUCUGAUACAGCACGUCUUGAGUCCGAUAGAGGUGGGUGGAAUUCCUAGUGUAGAGGUGAAAUUCGUAGAUAUUAGGAAGAACACCGGUGGCGAAGGCGGCCCACUGGAUCGGUACUGACGCUGAGGUGCGAAAGCGUGGGGAGCAAACAGG
rnacentral:rRNA from 1 species